rnacentral:piRNA from 1 species
AAGCUGGAAAGAACCCAGAUGCCCUUC